rnacentral:lncRNA from 1 species
UUAAAGAAUAAGAAAAUAUGAUGAUGCAUAUAAUGAUAAGGUAAAUGCAUUCCUUUUUUCAAACCUUAUUAACUUUCCUACUACAUUUCAAAUAACUUGAAUCAGAUUAUGAUUUUAAAAAAAUAUAUGUAUAUUAAAAAAAAAUUCUAAUAGCAACUUUGCGGCCUAGCGUGGAUUUCAAACUAGUUAUAGUUAAUACCUACUAGUUGAUUUUUUUUUGUUUAUUUCAAGGCAAAUAUGAGGUACCAAAUCAACUUUAGUUUAAGUAAUUAAAAAACUGGGAUGAAUUAUUUACUCGAACUCACACAUUAAAAGAAUAACAAAACAACAUAAGAUUAUUCAUCCAGUUAAUAAAUUGUUAUAACAACCAAUUAUAUAUGCAAAAAUUGUGCAUAUAUAUGUGUGGGUAUUAGUCUAUCCUUUAAUUUUUU